rnacentral:rRNA from 1 species
CGUGUAGGCGGUCGGUCAAGUCCGAUGUGAAAGCCCGGGGCUCAGCCUCGGAAGUGCAUCGGAAACUAGCCGGCUGGAGCGCGAUAGAGGAGGGUAGAAUUCCUGGUGUAGCGGUGAAAUGCGCAGAUAUCAGGAGGAAUACCGGCGGCGAAGGCGGCCCUCUGGAUCGUUGCUGACGCUGAGACGCGAAAGCGUGGGGAGCAAACAGGAUUAGAUACCCUGGUAGUCCACGCGGUAAACGAUGGGUACUAGGUGUUCGGGGUAUUGACCCCCUGAGUGCCGCAGCUAACGCAUUAAGUACCCCGCCUGGGGACUACGGCCGCAAGGUUAAA